AUGGGUGCGAAAGAGCAUAGCUGAAUCAAAUCACCUCUUGAUUCAGAGGAAAGUCCGGACUGCAUGGGACAACAUAGUGGCUAACGACCACACAGGGUAACCUGAUGAUUAGAGCAACAGAGACGAGCGUGAUUAAAUUCACGGUGAAACGAGCAAUCUCUAUGUGCAGCAACCUCAAGCAGGAUUCCAACGGCACGUCCCAGUCAUUAUAGGAAUCGGGUAGAGGGCUUGACAUUUUGUGGCAACACAAUUUGCAGAUUAAUUAUGCUCACAACCUUUAAUGUGUUUCGACACGUUUCGGGCUGAACAGAAUCCGGCUUAUUGAACACCUGUUUAU
rnacentral:RNase_P_RNA from 1 species